rnacentral:rRNA from 1 species
UCCCAGACUCCUACGGGAGGCAGCAGUGAGGAAUAUUGGUCAAUGGCCGCAGGGCUGAACCAGCCAAGUCGCGUGAGGGAUGACGGUCCUAUGGAUUGUAAACCUCUUUUGUCAGGGAGCAAAGGGCGCCACGUGUGGCGUUUUGCGAGUACCUGAAGAAAAAGCAUCGGCUAACUCCGUGUCAGCAGCCGCGGUAAUACGGAGGAUCCGAGCGUUAUCCGGAUUUAUUGGGUUUAAAGGGUGCGUAGGCGGCCUUUUAAGUCAGCGGUGAAAGUCUGUGGCUCAACCAUAGAAUUGCCGUUGAAACUGGGGGGCUUGAGUAUGUUUGAGGCAGGCGGAAUGCGUGGUGUAGCGGUGAAAUGCAUAGAUAUCACGCAGAACUCCGAUUGCGAAGGCAGCAUACCGGCGCGCAACUGACGCUCAUGCACGAAAGCGUGGGUAUCGAACAGGAUUAGAUACCCGCGUAAA